AAUCUUCCGCAAUGGGCGAAAGCCUGACGGAGCGACGCCGCGUGAGUGAAGAAGGUCUUCGGACCGUAAAGCUCUUUUGUUGCAGGCGAAGGGUAAGAGCAGGAAAUGGCUCUUAUUAGACGGUAUGCAACGAAUAAGCCACGGCUAAUUUCGUGCCAGCAGCCGCGGUAAUACGUAGGUGGCGAGCGUUGUCCGGAAUUAUUGGGCGUAAAGGGAGCGCAGGCGGAAGGACAAGCCAGAUUUGAAAGUUCGGGGCUCAGCCCCGUGACGGAUCUGGAACUGUUCUCCUUGAGAGCGGGAGAAGGAAGCGGAAUUCCUGGUGUAGCGGUGAAAUGCGUAGAUAUCAGGAAGAACACCAGUGGCGAAAGCGGCUUUCCGGACCGAAUCUGACGCUGAGGCUCGAAAGCCAGGGGAGCGAA
rnacentral:rRNA from 1 species